UGGGGAAUUUUGGACAGUGGGGGCAACCCUGAUCCAGCAAUGCCGCGUGUGUGAAGAAGGCCUUCGGGUUGUAAAGCACUUUUGUCCGGAAAGAAAACUUCGGGGCUAAUACCCCUGGAGGAUGACGGUACCGGAAGAAUAAGCACCGGCUAACUACGUGCCAGCAGCCGCGGUAAUACGUAGGGUGCGAGCGUUAAUCGGAAUUACUGGGCGUAAAGCGUGCGCAGGCGGUGCUGUAAGACCGAUGUGAAAUCCCCGGGCUUAACCUGGGAACUGCAUUGGUGACUGCAGCGCUGGAGUAUGGCAGAGGGGGGUGGAAUUCCACGUGUAGCAGUGAAAUGCGUAGAGAUGUGGAGGAACACCGAUGGCGAAGGCAGCCCCCUGGGCCAAUACUGACGCUCAUGCACGAAAGCGUGGGGAGCAAACAGG
rnacentral:rRNA from 1 species